UACGUAGGGUCCGAGCGUUGUCCGGAAUUACUGGGCGUAAAGAGCUCGUAGGCGGUCUGUCGCGUCGGCUGUGAAAAACCCGAGGCUCAACCUCGGGCCUGCAGUCGAUACGGGCAAACUAGAGUACUGCAGGGGAGACUGGAAUUCCUGGUGUAGCGGUGAAAAUGCGCAGAUAUCAGGAGGAACACCGGUGGCGAAGGCGGGUCUCUGGGGCAGUAACUGACGCUGAGGAGCGAAAAGCGUGGGGAGCGAACAGG
rnacentral:rRNA from 1 species